GUGCUUGCUUCAGCAGCACAUAUACUAAAAUUGGAAUGAUACAGAGAAGAUUAUCAUGGUCCCUGCGCAAGGAUGACAUGCAAAUUCGUGAAGCAUUCCACGUUUUU
rnacentral:snRNA from 1 species